AGCCAAAUGACACUGAGGUUAGUGGAACAACUCGCAACUCAAAUGGAACGUUUUGUUAUCGGUCACCAAGUUAUUGAAAAAAAAUGAACAAAGCAUAUCGACACCUGUAUCGGUGCCGCCCACGUCGUGAUUCACGCUUCCGGCUAAAGAAAAAUGCUGAAUCACUCGGCAUGCUGGUGGAACGCAACUGCAAGCCCAUUAUAAAGACUGUCCAGUUAUGUAAACACGUACACCUAUGGCGCAGGUCAGUGUUAUAGGCUGAAAAAAGAACGAAAUGAACCGUAGACAGGAAAGCUUUUGUUACAGGUUAGAGGAGAAAUCUGUGUGAUAUAGUUGAGCUAUCAUCAAAGACAGCAAUCACGUCAUUUGAAAACCAGAAAUUCCUGACACCAAUGGCCGAGAAAAACCUUGGACAUUUCUAAUCAAUGGGUUUUUUCCAAAUUUGGCGAAGAGAAGAUGACCCUUUAAUAUUCCUGUUGCUGGAAAAACAAAAGAAACCCGGAUCAAUUGAUUAAAAACAGCUGUAACCAACCACGCAAAUGUAAGGAAAAGCCAACACUACUUGAUCUCC